ACACAUAUGCCCAGGUGACAU
rnacentral:miRNA from 15 species